CAUCUAAGGCAGAAGAUCAUCAAGAGUUCUGGCUCCAGAGGGAGUCCUUUGACCUCCGUGCUACUUUCCAGCUCAGUCCUUGGAGAGGUGGCAUAGAAGCUUCCUGCAGCUGUGGAUAGAGAUUCCAGAGAGGCCACCUGGACUGUAGUGCUGGCUCCAUCCAGGGCUUCGGAGAGGCAGAGACAAUGGCUGGAAGAGAAUAAAUGCCUCCUAUAAAGGUACAAGUUUGGAACCUGCGUCCCUGGGCUGAAAUCAAGGUGUCGACAGGGCUGUGCCUCUGGGGGCCCCGGGGGACACCCCAUUCCUUGUUUGCCAUCAUCUCUUGAUUUGUUACCACCACUCACACAGCAAAGCCAGCGUCUCUGGAUUUCUCUGCUGUCUGCACACAGACUCCUCCUCUGCAUCCCUCAUAGUGACACAGCAAUGGCAUUUGGGCCUAACGAGCGUCUCUCAAGAUCUGCUGUCCAAUCCCACCUGUGGCCAUAGAAGGCGAUACUCAGCGAUAUUGGGACUCAGAAGAGAAUACACCUCUUUCCAGCCCACACUUCUACCCGCCACAGCCUCUAACACGCGGUGAGGACCAAGGGCCUCUGGGAUGAGGUUAGAGCUGGAGAGUGUUUCAAAGCUCUCCUCUCAGGUCUGCCUGUUGGGCCGGCGUUAAGAAGCACACCUUGGAAAUUUCACCAAAGGAAGAUGAACCUGGGGAAGUGUCAGAGCUGGUUCACCAGCUGUCCCCUCCCUGUACAUCUGGGAUUUACUUUUCCAACGAGGUAGACCUUUCCCUUGACUCGGGAGAUGAUGUCAUCUCUCAGAUAAAGUAUGGAAAGCCAUCGAUAGUUUCAUAGGGACAUGCAAACUAAACCCCACAGUGGAAGAAUCUCUAGGGAAUAGUGAAGCUAGCACUACGUACGUCAGGGGUUUCAAAUCCUGGAUUGGAUUCCUGGUGCCCCUACUUACAAGCCAAGCGACCCUCGGGGAAGUCAUGUAACUUUUCUAAGCCUCAGUUUUCUCUUUUAGGCAAUGAAGAUAAUAACCAAUAACUACCUCACUGGGUGAAUGCUGUGUAUAAAAACAAUUAAAGUAAGGCAUUACACAUCUAAGGACUUACUUUUAUUCUGUGAAAGGCAAAACAAAUUUUUUUCUUUAAUGCUCAUCCUCUCUGAUGGUCUUGUUAAUCGUGGGGUAAAUUUCUGUUGGUUUUCUCUGGAGAUCAAGAUGUUCCUGCUCAGCCAGGAUCCAGAGCAACAUGUCUGUGCUUUCUUUUUAACCCCCUGUUUGGGCUGGGGUUGUAGCUCAGUGGUAAAGUGCUUGCCUCACACCUGUGAGGCACUGGGUUCAAUCCUCAGCACCUGGUAAAAAUAAAUAAAUAAAUAAAACCCCUGUUACAUUCCCAGUGGUUGGUGUGCAGUAUGUGCUCAAUAAAUGUGCAAAGAAUGAACACUCUAGCCUAGAUUUCUUCACCCCGAUGUCUCCUUUUUACAGUCAUAGAAUCCUGAGGCUGGAAAGGUCUUUGUGACGUCAUCCAGAAUAGUAGUUUUUAAUGCUAAUCUGGCGAUUGGCCAAGUCUGGCUGGCCUAUGUGAGAAGCAGCUGGGAGCUGAUCACAUACAGCUUCUGGGCUCCACCCCGGGGACUCUGUUCGUGGGUUUGAGGCAGCAACGGGAAUCACUUUUCCACAGGUUUUCCUGGGCCACAUGAUAUAGCUGGUCCACACACGGCUCUAGCUGCCCCUGCACAGAGGCCACUGCUAAGGCACCACACUAAACACCCUCCUUCUUUUUAAGGUUCUCCAUAGAUUCUUGCAGUUUCCUUCACUAGAGACGUACCAAGGGUCAGGGACCUCUUGUCAUCAGGAACCUCAUGAUUUAAAGCCUCAUAUUCCUCCUGCUUUGCCUUGAGUAAGUCGGAUGCAGGAGCCUUGCUUUUCCGUCUUACUGUUUGCUUUUCUCUUCCUUGGGAUUAUCUCAAGGUAAGGAGGGAGCUUUUCUUCCCUAAAUGAUGCAUCCUGAUCGCCGCUGGGAGGGGCCUCUAGGGACCAGUCCCCAGCAGUCGGCUAGCUUGCGUCAUUCCCUUAUCUCUUUACGUGAAGUGAGUCAAGAACAUGGAUUUUCUGAAUGUCAGAGUCAGAAAAUAGAAGGCACAGGUUUCUAUCUCCCAUCUCCUUUCUUAAAAUAAUGUGUAUUCAGAAAUUUGCAUCCUGAAAUAGCACACGGGAGAGCAGCUGCUCCCCUUUCAGAAGCACCGUCCUUGGCACAUGAACCUGGCUGGCUUGGGGAAGGGGCCUUUUCUCCCUCGGGGCUCUUGAUCACUUCCGGACAUCUUCUGAUGCUCACCAGUGCACACUUACAAAUACCACAUGGCCCCGAAGCCAGCCAGCCAAUGUCUCUGAAGUGGUGGGUGAGUGAAAUCUUAACUGUACCAUGUUUUUCCAGGCGACAAUGGGGCCUUGGAGGACGGACAUACUCUCCUCUGGGUCCUGAUUCUCCUGUGUGUAGUGCGUCCCAGUUCCAGGGGUGCUCUGGGCAGUGUCGGCAGCAGUCUUCACGUUGGCCGGGAGGCAGAUGCCCCAACAGUUCUGAAAGCUGCCCCAGCGUUCACUGGAGUAGGGGUGCAGCCACAGGGCACCCCACUGUCGUAUCUCCUCUGGAACUGGACUCACAGGGUCCAAAGAGGCUGCUCUCCUCCUAUGGCAAGUCACACCCUGUGAGCCUGGGCCCACCUCUGUGACCCGUAGUAGGCCAGGAGACAGGGCCAACCGCAGUUUUCUUCAGUUCUUCCAUUUAAGGGUCUCUAGAUAAAGGUGCUGCCUUCUUUUGCUCCAGUUUGUCCAGAAGUCAACAGAAGGGAUGAGGAUGUAAGGGUCCGGCGGAGCGUCGGAGAAAGAGACCACAAGAGACCAACUUCAUGCAAUAAGCAGGGGGGAGUUUUA